rnacentral:rRNA from 1 species
AGUGAACGCUGGCGGCGUGCUUAACACAUGCAAGUCGAACGAGAACGGGUUAUAGCUUGCUAUAAUUGUCAGCUAAGUGGCGCACGGGUGAGUAAUGUAUAGGUAAUAUGCCUCUUACUAAGGGAUAACAAAUGGAAACGUUCGCUAAUACCUUAUGCUCCUUAUUAACAGAAGUUAAUAAGGGAAAGAUUUAUUGGUAAGAGAUUAGCCUGUAUUGUAUCAGUUAGUUGGUGGGGUAAUGGCUUACCAAGACUAUGACACAUAACUGGUUUGAGAGGAUGAUCAGGCACACUGGAACUGAGACACGGUCCAGACUCCUACGGGAGGCAGCAGUAGGGAAUAUUGCACAAUGGACGAAAGUCUGAUGCAGCAACGCCGCGUGGAGGAUGACACAUUUCGGUGCGUAAACUCCUUUUAUAUGAGAAGAUAAUGACGGUAUUAUAUGAAUAAGCACCGGCUAACUCCGUGCCAGCAGCCGCAGUAA